rnacentral:rRNA from 1 species
UAUGAACCCCCACCCGACACUGAACGACCCCAUAAAUAUAUGGGAAACAUUAUGCUGGAACUAGUAACAAGAAUUUAACAUUCUCCACAAUGCAAGCAUAAGCCAGAACAGAUAAACUGCUGGUUAUUAACGAAAAUGAACAAGCUACAGCAACACAACAAGAAAACCCUGUUUAUAUCUCUCGUUAACCUAACACUAGAGCAUUUUAGGAAAGAUUAAAAGAGAAAGAAGGAACUCGGCAAAUUUUAACCCCGCCUGUUUACCAAAAACAUCGCCUCUUGACGAGCUAUAAGAGGUCUAGCCUGCCCAGUGAUAAAUUUAACGGCCGCGGUAUCCUAACCGUGCGAAGGUAGCAUAAUCACUUGUUCUUUAAAUAGGGACUCGUAUCAACGGCAUCACGAGGGUUACACUGUCUCCUUCCUCCAAUCAGUGAAACUGAUCUCCCCGUGAAGAAGCGGGGAUGAACUAAUAAGACGAGAAGACCCCAUGGAGCUUUAAACCUCACAGCAACUCUAAUAUUUAAUUCCUCAUAAUUUACAGGGCAGUGCACGUCGGUUUUAGGUUGGGGCGACCGCGGAGUAAAAAUUACCCUCCACGACGAAAAGAACUAAAUCUUUAUUUAAGAGCAACUACUCUAAAAAUUAGCACACUAACGAACAAUGAUCCGAUUAUCGAUCAACGGACCAAGUUACCCUGGGGAUAACAGCGCAAUCUACUUCAAGAGCCCAUAUCAACAAGUAGGCUUACGACCUCGAUGUUGGAUCAGGGUAUCCCGGUGGUGCAGCCGCUACUA